rnacentral:tRNA from 1 species
GGCUUCGCUGCUCAGAUGGUAGAGCAUUUACCACUUUUGGGCAUGUUGUUUCUGUCGCUGGUUCGAAUCCAGCCGAAGUCC